UAAUCUGAGUUUUAAUUCUACGAUAUGUACUUUGUAUUACUUCUUAUUUUGUAGUAUUGGUUGAGAUGUGAUUAUCUGACAUAAUUUCAUAAAUUGGACCAGCAAAAGAUAGUUAUCAAAUUAUGCAUGGAUGGGAAUGAUCAGAGAUCUCGGACUAAGGCUUUCAAGAUAGCUGUUUCUCAACCAGGUAGUUGUCUUCUUCAGUUUCUAAUUCACCGAUUCCAAUCAAAAUC
rnacentral:lncRNA from 1 species